GAUGAAGAACGUAGUGAAAUGCGAUAAGUAAUGUGAAUUGCAGAAUUCAGUGAAUCAUCGAAUCUUUGAACGCAUCUUGCGCUCCUUGGUAUUCUGAGGAGCAUGCCUGUUUGAGUGUCAUUAAAUUCUCAACUACACUGACUUUGAAUUGGUGUGGCUUGGAUUUGGGGGGAAAAUUGUUGUGGGCUUUUUGUAUAGUCUGCUCCCCUGAAAUUGAUUAGCGGUACCUUUGUGGAACUGUCUACAGGUGUGAUAAUUAUCUACAUCUUAGACAUCUGCUGGAAUGCUGCUUUCUAAACCUUACUUGUAUUGACAAUCUUGACCUCAAAUCAGGUAGGACUACCCGCUGAACUUAAGCAUAUUCAAUAAGCGGAGGA
rnacentral:misc_RNA from 1 species